AGAGUUUGAUCCUGGCUCAGAUUGAACGCUGGCGGCAUGCCUUACACAUGCAAGUCGAACGGCAGCACGGGAGCAAUCCUGGUGGCGAGUGGCGAACGGGUGAGUAAUACAUCGGAACGUGCCCUGUCGUGGGGGAUAACUAGUCGAAAGAUUAGCUAAUACCGCAUACGACCUGAGGGUGAAAGCGGGGGACCGUAAGGCCUCGCGCGAUAGGAGCGGCCGAUGUCUGAUUAGCUAGUUGGUGGGGUAAAGGCCCACCAAGGCGACGAUCAGUAGCUGGUCUGAGAGGACGAUCAGCCACACUGGGACUGAGACACGGCCCAGACUCCUACGGGAGGCAGCAGUGGGGAAUUUUGGACAAUGGGGGCAACCCUGAUCCAGCAAUGCCGCGUGUGUGAAGAAGGCCUUCGGGUUGUAAAGCACUUUUGUCCGGAAAGAAAUCCCUUGCCCUAAUACGGCGGGGGGAUGACGGUACCGGAAGAAUAAGCACCGGCUAACUACGUGCCAGCAGCCGCGGUAAUACGUAGGGUGCGAGCGUUAAUCGGAAUUACUGGGCGUAAAGCGUGCGCAGGCGGUUUUGUAAGACAGGCGUGAAAUCCCCGAGCUCAACUUGGGAAUGGCG
rnacentral:rRNA from 1 species